GGCAGGUUUAGAUUAGAUGUUAGGAAGAAAUUCUUUACUCACAGGUGGAUGCAUGAAGGAGGCUGUGACCCUGUGGGAGGCCCAAGAUAGAGCAGGGUCUUGCCAGGGAUCUACAGCCUGUGGAGAGAGGAGCCCA